UGGACGAGGGUUCGACUCCCUCCAUCUCCACCA
rnacentral:tmRNA from 1 species